rnacentral:rRNA from 1 species
UACGUAUGGUGCAAGCGUUAUCCGGAUUUACUGGGUGUAAAGGGAGCGUAGGCGGCGCGUUAAGUCUGAUGUGAAAACCCGAGGCUCAACCACGGGAGUGCAUUGGAAACUGGCGGGCUGGAGUGCCGGAGAGGUAAGCGGAAUUCCUAGUGUAGCGGUGAAAUGCGUAGAUAUUAGGAGGAACACCAGUGGCGAAGGCAGCUUACUGGACGGCAACUGACGCUGAGGCUCGAAAGCGUGGGGAGCAAACAGG